rnacentral:lncRNA from 1 species
AUACUACAUAAACCUAUUUUGGGUGAUCAAUAAUGUCUUUGAAGUUUGAUCUACAUUAGUGGAUUGAUAAAUUAAGGUCAAUGCCCUUUCUUAUUCCAUAAUUAUCCAUUUUAAGACGGUCAACCUCUCCCCAUUUAUAUGCUCCCAAUUGAAUCCCCAACCAGAAUUUCAAGUCUAAAGGUCUAAAUUAAACUUCCUCCUCCCUUGCUCCUCCAACACAAACCAUCCAUUUGGCCCAAAUUCUAUAAAAAAAAAACUCAUAUUUCUCUGUCUCUCUCAUAUGUUCCACCACAAAUUCCCCUAAACUCUCUCACAUCCCUCAACGGCUCAACCUAUAAAUCACCUUCCCCCAUGCAAACCUAUCUUUCACCACAUCCUCUAGAGCUGCUGCAGUAUUUCUCUAAUCCGUUAGAGAAGUGCUGCAAUAUUAACUAAAAAAGAACUACAAAUACAAAAACAACAACACAAGAAGAUGGCUCGCCAGGCUUUUGUUCUUUCUCUCCUCAUUGUUGCCAUUGUUGGUGUGGCUAUGGCCAGGGAAGCCCCAUCAGCAUCACCAACGACAUCACCAGUUCCAUCCUCAGCACCAAAGGCAUCACAAGCUCCAUCUUCAUCAGCAGCUUCCCCCAAAGCCUCAGCAGCUCCAUCUACAUCCGAGUCUUCCCCUGCCUCUUCCCCUGCCACAGAGGAGCCUUCAUCUCCCCCUGCUCCAGCCAGUGAGGCCAUCGAGUUCGGCGCCCCUUCACCGGGACCUGCCGCUGGACCCGCUGCUGAUGCGCCUGCACCCGCUCCUAAAGCCAGCGGUGCUUCUGCCCUUGGAUUCUCUGGUGCUGUUGCUCUUGCCGCAGUUGCUGGCUUCUUCGCCUUCUAAGAUGGUUGUUGUUUGUGUCAUGAGCUUAUGAGAGGG